GACGAACGCUGGCGGCGUGCCUAAUACAUGCAAGUAGGACGAAGUUGCGAACGGGCGAGUAACGCGUAGGUAACUAGCUGUUAGAGGGGGCUAACUAUUGGAAACGAUAGCUAAUACCGCCUACUAGUAGAUUGACCUGCGUUGUAUUAGCUAGUAGGUAGGGUGAAGGCCUACCUAGGCAACGAUAAAUAGCCGACCUGAGAGGGUGGUCGGCCACACUGGGACUGGGAAACGGCCCAAGCUCCUACGGGAGGCAGCAGGAGGGGAACUUCGGCAAUGGGGGGAACCCUGACCGAGCAACGCCGCGUGAGUGAAGAAGGUUUUCGGAUCGUAAAGCUCUGUUGUUAAGGAAGCGGUACUUAACCAGAAAGGGACGGCUAACUACGUGCCAGCAGCCGCGGUAAUUC
rnacentral:rRNA from 1 species